GACGAACGCUGGCGGCGUGCUUAACACAUGCAAGUCGAGCGAUGAAAGCCUUAUGAACUAUUCGUAGUGAUUGAGGCCGGAUUAGCGGCGGACGGGUGAGUAACGCGUGAGCAACCUGCCUUAAACAACGGGAUAGCCUCGGGAAACCGGGAUUAAUACUGUAUGAGACUCCGCCUUCACAUGAAGAAGAGGUUAAAGAUUUAUCGGUUUAAGAUUGGCUCGCGUCUGAUUAGCGAGUUGGUGAGAUAAAAGCCCACCAAGGCAACGAUCAGUAACCGGCUUGAGAGCGUGAACGGUCACAUUGGAACUGGGACACGGUCCAAACUCCUACGGGAGGCAGCAGUGGGGAAUAUUGCACAAUGGGGGAAACCCUGAUGCAGCGACGCCGCGUGAGCGAUGAAGGAAUUCGUUUCGUAAAGCUCUGUCCAAGGGGAAGAUAAUGACAGUACCCUUGGAGGAAGCCCCGGCUAAAUACGUGCCAGCCGCCGCCGUAAUAC
rnacentral:rRNA from 1 species